rnacentral:lncRNA from 10 species
AUUAGCUGCUCCUUUAUUGCACCCGAACCUCGGGCGACUGAAAAGCCACCGCCCCCACCCCAAACUGCGAGCCGCGCUCCUGGCGCACCCGCCUCCCGCCGGCCUAGCUGCAAUGACCGCACCGGCCCGAAGGUCUCGGUCUCUCCGACCCGGGAUGUGGAGCCCGAAAGAGUGGUGGGAACCCCAGCCCGGGAGGGACGCGGCCGCCGCUCGGGCCAGAUCCCCUUAUCCAGGCCACCUUUGGAAACCAGCCCACCUGCUACACCAACCUUUUCCCAACACCGUGGUCCCACCCCUACCUUCGCUGCUGAAAAACCGCAUUGUGUGGGGGUCUGGAAUCUUCUGGACUCCUGGGACCCCAAUCCGCUUGCCUCUUGUACCCCUCUUGCAGAGCAAUGAGGUAUGUUUUGGGUUUGUGUACUGACCCCUACCUGCCUCCUCUGCCAGACCUGAGGGCAGGAGCCUUCCUCUGGGUAUUCCAGUUCAUCUCGGACCUUCGAAGUCCUAGGAGACACCGGGCUCCCGCUGAAUAUCGGUUGAAUGACUUUCCAUAGAGCAAAUGGGGUAUACAUGAUUGUGCAAUGUGGAGGGGAAUGGUUUGGGCCCCUCAGAGGAGUUUAGAGAUUAGGAGGAUUCCAGAAAUGAGUAACACAGGGUCAGUGGGGGUAGAGCCAGCCCUGACAUUCUGGGCUCCAAUCUUUCUGCCCAAUCCCCUACUGAGCCCCCAUGCUGGGGCAAGGCAGACACUCUGGGGGUCUCCCCACCCCCAGUCAGCUGGGCCAGCAUCUUCUCACCUGGAGCUGAAAGCAGCUGAUUCCCAGAGUCUGCUCCACAGAGGGAAUACCUGUCUUCAGAGCAUAAUCUAUAUGCUACCAUGAUCCUCAAUUCCUGUUUGCUGCUUAAACAGCCAGGGUCCAGGUUUAUUCUUUCUCAGUGGAUAGGGAAGGGAUCAUUCUGCCAAAAAUCUGCUUUCCCUCAGUUUAGGGAAUAUUCCAGACAAAGAAGAGGGAAACAGCAUUUCAUGAAUUGCCACAAUAAGGGGACCCUGCAGACCCAAACAAAACAGGUUAAACCUUAACACAGGAGAAGAAUUCGCUUAAACCCCCAAAGACUCCAUUGGAUUCACUCUGGAUUGUUUUGGUACCCCCAUUCAUUUCCAGAUUAUUUGUAUAAGCACCAGCAUUGACUCUCAGGCCAGAGUUCCUUUAGAGAAAAGGGUCUGACACUGCUUGAAACAAGUUAACUUGGCCAGCAGUGCGGAUCAUUUUACUGUUGUUGUUGUUGUCCCAUGAAGACCUGCUACUCUGACACUCUGUGUGGAAUUCAGAGUGUUUCUUCUCCUAUGGAAGUGGACUAUGAUAAACGGCCUCCUGCCACCCAGGCUAAGUCAGGACUGCCCACUUGGUUUUUACAUUUUGCCCUGGGCCACUGUCUGCAGUAACAGCAACAAUAACCAUGACAAUAAAUACCAUAAGCCCUUACCUUGUGCCUGGCUCCAGGCUAAGAGUUUUAUUCAUUUCAUUUAUUACUCACAAUCUUUCUAGGUAGCUAUGCUCUUACCCCGAUUUUACAUAACAGGAAAAUGAGGCCCAGAGAAGUUAAGUAACCCAUCCAAAGUCACACAGCCUGUUUUGGAGUGAUCAGGAUUGGAACACUGUCCUUUUGUUUUGUUUUGUUUCUUAUUCAAGUCUGUCCCCUUAAUUCCUGAACCAGGGGGUUCUUAACCAGAGGUCCCCCAAGGGCUCUUUGAAUGGGCUUCAGGGGCUCUGUAAAUCUCAGAAAUUUAUAUGUGUACCCAGGUGGGCACAUUUUUCUGGGAGCAAUAUUAUAUAACACCCAGGAUUCUCAAAGCGGGUGGGGAUCCAGAAAAGGUAAAGGCUGGAAUCAGGCCACUGUAGGGAAGGGAGGCAAGCCACUGGGGAAGGGGGAUGGAAGCGGCCUCCUCCCAGGCCUGGGGAGCAGGGAGGCAGCUGCUUCAAAAUUCAGGCUGGGCUCCAAGCCUGCUCCUGGACCUGCCCUGCUUUUUCUGGCCACACCCAGCUCUUAGGACCUCAGCUGGCAGGAAGACGUGGGGCACCAUCUGAGGGCAGGACACUCCUUUGGUCCCCUCCCUGAUUCUCCCCUUCCCUACUUCUUUUGUGAGCUGAAUUCCUUCAGAGCACUGUGACAAGGUGACCAUACCACAUGCACCAGCCUCCUCCAGGCACUGUAAUCCUGCUUGGAAGGAGCGGGGAGUGCUUGCCCUUUGGAAGUACUGGGGGACAUAGACAGACCACUGAGUGACAGAGACAGGAAGGGAGGAGAAGAGACAAGUUCCCAGAGAUGCUCAAGUCCUGGGUGCCCACUCUCUGCAGCCUCUAGAACAGCCUUCUCUUUUGGUUCCAAGCUUUUGCUCCCCUCAUCCAAGGGUUGGGAUGAUUUGUGUCCCUUCCUUUCCUGGCACCUCCUGCUCUGUCUCUAGUGCUCAACUCAUUUCCUGGGGGAAACCUUCUCUGCCCUGUUCAGCUCCUCUGCGCUCCUUAGCACAUUCCCCUGGAUGUCACUGUCAUAUUGCCAAGAAUGUGUUGCUUUGUCUGUCUGUCCUGCCUCUCUCUCUCCAUCUGUUGUGAACUUGGGAAGGAAGGACCUGAAUCACCUCUCCAUGCCCCUAUGCCAGCCCAGCAUACACCAAGGGGUCCAAGCAUUUGUUGAGUAAAUAAACUAAAUAAAUAAACAAGGGACAAAAAUGGAGCCAGACAGGGAACUUAGCCUGUGCCUCAGAGAGAGGACCAGGGGUAGGUGUAUUGGUUUUGCCAGCUGCCUGCAGAUGCGUGCGGUGCUCCUACUGCUCACACCAAUAUACUCAGAGGGGCCCAGAAGCCUCAUUCUCUAAUGCUUUUUGGCUAUGGAGUGAGUUUCCUGGGUUGUGGACCCAGCUGUGGUGGUGUGGUCUGACUUAGUAAUGAACUUCCUUCAUUUGCUUUUUUUGUUUGUUUUUGAGAUGAGGUCUCACUAUGUCACCCAGGAUGGAGUGCAGUAGCACAAUCUGGGCUCACUGCAGCCUCGACCUGCUAGGCUCAAGUGAUCCUCCCACCUCAGCCUCCCAAGUAGCUGGGACCAAAGGAGCAUGCCACCAAGCCCAGCUAAUUUUUGUAUUUUUUGUAGGGAUGGAGUUUCAUGAUGUUGCCCAGGCUGGAUUUUUUUUUAAAUAGGAUUAAGGCCGGGCGCAGUGGCUGGGCCUGUAAUCCCAGCACUUUGGGAGGUCGAAGAGGGCAGAUCACUUGAGGUCAGCAGUUUGAGACCAGCCUGGUGAACAUGGUGAAACCCUGUUUCUACUAAAAAUACAAAAAUUAGCCGGGUGUUAUGGUAUGCUCCUGUAGUCCCAGCUUCUCGGAGGUUGAGGCAGGAGAACUGCUUGAACCUGGGAGUUGGAGGUUGCAGUGAGCCGAGAUCGCACCACUGCACUUUAGCCUGGGUGACAGAGCAAGACGCUGUCAAAAAAAAAAAAAAAAAAAAAAAAAGAAAGAAAGAAAGAAAAGAAAAGGAAAGGAAAGAAAGAAAAUAGGAUUGACCCCCCCAUCAUUCGUUGGGCCCAGAAGCAGAGAGGAAGAAUGGACAGAAGAUGGGAGGUGAUGGGCAGGCAGGAGUGGCAGGAAACAGACACCCACACGCCACUCCAGUAGCCCAGGGGUCUGUGAAGAGGAUAAAGGAACCUAAGUGAGCAUGUGUGUGUGUGUUGGGGGGGGGGGCGCGGUGUGGGGGGAGAGUCUGGUUCUGUUCCUGAUGGAGGUGGCAUUUGAGUUGAACUUUGUAAAACCAGGAGCAUGUAAAUAGGUGCAGGAGCAGGGACCAUCCUGGAGGCAAAGGGAACAGCCGAGCACAAGCCCGAAGAUGCCACCCUAAGAGAGGUUCCAGAGUUCCCUAUAGCUCCUCCCUCUGUUGUCCUGGCGGUGAGCUACUGG